rnacentral:lncRNA from 1 species
GUUUGCCUGCUUCUCCUGCUUUACUGUCAUCUCCCACCGUACUCAUCGAAGCCCAUACGCUGCAGCACAUCAUGCUGAAUCCAGAAUGCCAGACAGCCCAGCGAGGACUAUGUCAAGCUAUAAGAGAAUCUGGCUGGAGGAAUAAAUUGGUCUAAAAUACAAGAAACUUGCCUGAGCAAGUACCUGGACACCUUCUGAAUAUGCAGCCUGCCUCCAAGACAGGCUUGAUGACAACACCAAGGCAGGCAGAAGUUAAUUUUAAGGAAGCGUUGAUGGCUAGCCUGUUUGUAAACCAAGCCGCUCCAACUAUUCACAACAAUUUAACUAAAAAUGCUUUGUGGUAACGAGGACUUACAGAGAUAAUUUGUAUAACUGCUUUUUUUCUCAAUGGAAGAGAUGAAAGGAAGAGAAAAGAAAAGCUACGUAAAAGAAAGAAAAUGCUCAUUUAUUUACCAGUGGCAGCUUUUCAAGCACCGCGCAGAGCAGAGGGAACAAGAAGAAGGAGUUGAGAAACAGGUAUGAUCAGGAUACGUCUACGACAGCGUCCUGGGAGUUACUCGGUCACAGAACGAGCAGAAAAACUCUGCCCGUGUGUGAUGUGAAGGCUGAAGGAGGGGGACGCCGCCUGGCCGCCAUUUUGGGCGUUCCUCACAGGCCGCCAUUUUGUCCACAGCUUGGUGCCGCCAAGCCAUUGCGCUCCGACAGAAUUUGUGGCUUUUUAUCUAGAAAACAUGGAGUUGUGCCUCAUUAUUUUAUAUAUAAAGGGAAAACUGCGUCGGGGUGAGGUCUUUCUCCUGAGGGAGAGGCCGUUUGGCCCGGCAAAAUAAAAUUCUGCCUCAUUUUUUUUAAGCUUCGUGUGAAUCCUCGAUGGCUGCCCGCAGAGGAGCAGUGAGGUGGCGGCCCUGUCGCGCAGCAUGCUGGGAGAUGUAGUUCGCGGCAGGCCGGCGGCGCGGGGCGUGCUGGGAGAUGUAGGCGGCGGUGGCCCAGCCGCGCAGGGGAUGAUGGGGGAUGUAGGCUGCGGCGGGCCGGGCGCGCGGGGUGUGCUGGGAGAUGUAGGCGGUGGCGGGCCGACUGCAGGGGGCGCGAUGGCAGGGUGUGAGGGCAGCUGGAGGGGAACGGUGCCCACAGGGGGUGGCCGAGGUGAGAGAAUAGCACCUGGAAGGGAAAACGGCGCCGUGAGCGGUGCCUGA